rnacentral:rRNA from 1 species
GUCUAUGGCCAUACCACCCUGAACGCGCCCGAUCGCGUCUGAUCUCGGAAGCUAAGCAGGGUCGGGCCUGGUUAGUACUUGGAUGGGAGAGAUAGGGCUGCCUAGCUA